rnacentral:misc_RNA from 1 species
AACGCACAUUGCGCCCCUUGGUAUUCCGGGGGGCAUGCCUGUUCGAGCGUCAUUACAACCACUCAAGCUUAGCUUGGUAUUGGGGUUUGCCUUUUGGCGGCUCCUAAAAUCAGUGGCGGUGCCGUCUGGUCCUGAGCGUAGUAAUACUUCUCGCUAUAGGUUCCCGGCGGUGCUUGCCAUCAACCCCCAAUUUUUUUCAGGUUGACCUCGGAUCAGGUAGGGAUACCCGCUGAACUUAA